AUAUAAGUGUCAGAUAAUAUGAGUUGGUUUUAAGCAUCAAUUAUAGGAUUUAUACUCCUCUUAUAUU
rnacentral:tRNA from 1 species